AGUACAUUUAACAGUUUAGAGAAUAUGUUUUUAUCAGUCAGUCUAAAACAUCUAUCUCUGCUCGGUCCCGUUCAAUACAUACAAAAUGCACUAGCACGAGAAGUUAGAACUAUACCAUUCUCAUAAUCAAGAUAAAUUACAUUUAAUCUCGUGCUACAAUCUUUCUGAUGGUUUUGUCCAAAUUUCCAUCUACGAUUGUGAACUAUAACUUUUAACUUAUAAGAGCCGAUGAUUUAAUCUUCUGUGUAUAAGCUUAAACUCUAUACACCAAAUCAUCUACUAUAUAAGUUAAGGACACAUAUAUGACAAUUGAUCUAUUUAAUGUAACAAUUUAUUGAAUUGAAUAAAUGAAUAAACAAUUGUUCAAUAAUAAUACUAUAUCAAAA
rnacentral:lncRNA from 1 species